GGGGAUUUAGUUCAGCAGCAUAACGCCUGCCUUGCAAGCAGGCAGUUGUGAGUUCGAUCCCCG
rnacentral:tRNA from 1 species